rnacentral:lncRNA from 7 species
AUUGGUUUUGCCCUGUUUUCUGUAUUUAAUAACUGGAUUAUAUUCAUUAUUUAAUUCCUUCAGCUACAUUAUAUUUUUUAAAAAUAUUUUAAUAGGAUGAUUUCAGAGUUCCACAGAUGCUGCAUAAGUAUACACAUAUGACAGUUCACAGAGAAACAAAAGGGGCAAUCCCUUGUAAAAAUGUCUUUGAUGACCAGGAGGUUUCUCACAGGUAACCAGUAAAAAUUCACUGAACACCAGAAAGCUCAUCUGUGCAUAUUAGCAAGUCUGGGAAACACCUUUUUUUUUUUCAGGUUAAUGUACCUAAAGUGUUCUAGAGGUAAAUGCAAAUGGAGAGAAGCUCAUGCUACUCAGUAUAGAUCAAAGUCAGUGAAUGAAGGAGGUUGCAACAAGAUUCCUGGACUUUGACCGACAAUCAGAGAAUCAAUGGCUAUGUCCAAAAAAGUCCGUCCACUGAAUGCUAAGAUCUACUGCAGUAGAGACAAAGUACUUAUGGUGCAGUUUGGAUUCUGCAUUUUCUUCGAGAACCAGAAAAAAAGCACCUGUGAUUUUGUCUACUUGUCUACCAGAUUUACAGCUACUGGAAUUAAACUUGUGAUUGUCUUAGUUAAUAGCACUAAGGGUGACAAUUCGUUUAUACCUAAUGGUAGGAUGUUCAAAUAAUUGAUGUUAGAUAAAAAUUAUACUGAAGAAUAAUUUCUUAAUUCUUUCUCUCCUUUUUCUCUGCUUAAAAACAAAUUGCUCUUAAGUAUCAAAUUGUUCUAUUUGGAAGAAAUAAAUGUGUGUUUUAUGUUUUAAUAUUGUAAAAACCCAGUCUUCCGGGAAUCAUUUUGAAGCAGACAGAUGUGAGUGAUUAUAUUCUAUAGGUCACUAAAAAUUCAUCUCAAUAAAUAUAAAAUACAAAUCUGGGAAUAUCUCCAAAUGUUUUCCCCAGUAGCUGACUGUUUCUGGCAUUCUCUAUUAUAUAAGAUGGGAAGAGGAUAAUAUUCCUCACUUUUGUUUCCAAAGGAGGAAAGAAUGUUCAGAAUGAAGAUGUGAUGUGCAGUGCAUUACCCUGAAUCAUUAAGAGAUUAAGUUCUGAGUUAGUGCAAUACAUACAUUCACAUAAUUUAAUCAAUAUAGAUUAUACACAUUUACAAACUUACAAGUAAAUUAGAAGUUCCUGAGUGCAACUAAUGUAUCAGAAGCAUGUAAUGAUGUAAAAACCUAAAAAAUAAAAGAAAACUGAAA